CAGAGUGUGGGGGCCUGUGCACCAUGGAUUGGGCUCCCCUUCUCCUCGCCCUCCUGGCUCACGGCACAGGGUCCUGGGCCCAGUUUGUGCUGACUCAGCCCCCGUCUGUGUCGGGGUCUCCGGGACAGAAGGCCGUCAUCUCCUGCACCCGCAGCAGCGGCAACAUUGGAGGCUACUAUGUGUCCUGGUACCAGCAGCGCCCGGGCAGGGCGCCCACCUUGGUGAUCUACGAAGAUGAUGACAGACCCUCGGGGGUCCCCGAUCGGUUCUCUGGCUCCAUCGACAGCUCCUCCAACGCCGCCCACCUGACCAUCUCGGGGCUGCAGCCCGAGGACGAGGCCGACUACUACUGUCAGUCCUAUGGUGGUGGCUAUAAGCACACAGAGCUCCAGGCUCACGGGGAAACCAAACACAGUGGCUUCAAUGUUGGCAGCUACUGGAUAUCCUGGUACCAGCAGAAGCCAGGGAGCCGUCCCCGGUACCUACUGUCCUACUACUCAGACUCAAAUAAGGAUCAGGGCUCCGGGGUCCCCAGCCGCUUCUCUGGAUCCAAAGACGCCUCGACCAAUGCGGGGCUCCUGACCAUCUCGGGGCUGCAGCCUGAGGACGAGGCUGACUAUUACUGUGCUACAUAUGAUAGCGGUGCUCACAGUGAUUCAGAUGAUGAGGAAGUGAGACCAAAACCCCUGGCACAGAGGUGA